rnacentral:rRNA from 1 species
GGGGAAUAUUGGACAAUGGGGGCAACCCUGAUCCAGCAAUUCUGUGUGCACGAUGAAGGUUUUCGGAUUGUAAAGUGCUUUCAGCAGGGAAGAAAAAAAUGACGGUACCUGCAGAAGAAGCGACGGCUAAAUACGUGCCAGCAGCCGCGGUAAUACGUAUGUCGCAAGCGUUAUCCGGAAUUAUUGGGCAUAAAGGGCAUCUAGGCGGUCAGAUAAGUCUGGGGUGAAAACUUGCGGCUCAACCGCAAGCCUGCCCUGGAAACUAUGUGGCUAGAGUACUGGAGAGGUGGACGGAACUGCACGAGUAGAGGUGAAAUUCGUAGAUAUGUGCAGGAAUGCCGAUGAUGAAGAUAGUUCACUGGACGGUAACUGACGCUGAAGUGCGAAAGCUAGGGGAGCAAACAGGAUUAGAUACCCUGGUAGUCCUAGCUGUAAACGAUGAUUACUGGGUGUGGGCAUGAAGAGUGUCCGUGCCGAAGCUAAUGCGAUAAGUAAUCCGCCUGGGGAGUACGGCCGCAAGGCUG